CUCAACUCCUCCGACGCCCGCCGCCUCGCCCAGUCACUUGCCGUGACAGGAUGGAUCAGCGUGCCCUCCUCCCCAAUCGCAGCGGAAGCCCCCUGCAACCAUUUCUGCCUCACCUCGUCUCGCUCACGCCCUCGCCGGCCGCGCCAAGGUGCCCCGUCGCCGCUGUGGCAAAGUUUUGCCGUGCUGCGUCAGACCGCUUCGCGACCUGCACCCAUCACCUUGCCCGGAUCCCCGGCUGCAAGACCCAAUGCCUUCCAAUUUUUCCGCCCCUCCACAGUCGCGC
rnacentral:lncRNA from 1 species